rnacentral:rRNA from 1 species
CCUACGGGAGGCUGCAGUGAGGAAUAUUGGUCAAUGGUCGAGAGCCUGAACCAGCCAAGUCGCGUGAAGGAUGAAGGAACUAUGGUUUGUAAACUUCUUUUAUAUGGGAAUAAAGUCAGGAACGUGUUCCUUUUUGUAUGUACCAUAUGAAUAAGCAUCGGCUAACUCCGUGCCAGCAGCCGCGGUAAUACGGAGGAUGCGAGCGUUAUCCGGAUUUAUUGGGUUUAAAGGGUGCGUAGGUGGUUAAUUAAGUCAGCGGUGAAAGUUUGUGGCUCAACCAUAAAAUUGCCGUUGAAACUGGCGCUCUUGAGUGGAAGAGAAGUAUGCGGAAUGCGUGGUGUAGCGGUGAAAUGCAUAGAUAUCACGCAGAACCCCGAUUGCGAAGGCAGCAUGCCGGCUCCCGACUGACGCUGAAGCACGAAAGCGUGGGGAUCGAACAGGAUUAGAUACCCGAGUAGUC